GCCUUCGUGGUAUAGUGCUCAGAACACUCGACGCGUACUCGAGAGGUCCGUGGUUUGAGUCCCGGAGUGGGCA
rnacentral:tRNA from 1 species